GAUAGUUGUGUUAGAAUGAGACUCACAAGACAGCAAGAGUUCGGUUUUGAUACAGGCUUGAAAAGGACAAUCACAUGCAUACGUAAAGAAUGGAUAUGCAUGUGUAGAUCAGAAGAGACAUUCCUCAUGAAAGCUACACGACUCUGCUCCAUUUUUAAGAUACAAAGACUGAGGUGGAGACACUUGAACACCUGAUAUUUGGAGGAGCUACUUUCAGUUGGAACCCACAGGAAAGUAUGAAACCUGGGAGAGAGCAAUGGACUCAAUGCUCUCAUCCAUUACACAAUACACAAGGCAAUUACAAAGUAUCCUUUCUCUCUGAUCCUGUUUGCUACAGACUGAACUACAGAGCCUGUCUCACGCAAAAAUAUGGAAACUGUACUGUCUUCAUCCUACACCAGACAGUCAUUACCAUAGGUCCUCACAAGGAAGGUUGUGGGAAAAUCUGAACUACCCCUUCAGCUUCCCCAUGACUCGGAUUGGUUGAAAUUUCUGGAGAAACUUGCAAAGAGUUUUAAUGAAGCCAACUAUGGAUGUCUUCCACUCUGAAGUUACGUUGGAUCUUGCAUCUCGCCUGGGCAGGACAAUAGAGUCAACCUUGUUGGCAGAGAAGUGGGUGAGCCAGCUCCGAAGUUGUGAGCUUGGGAGAGCUGUCCCCAUACUCACGCCUAUUAACUGCUUAGACUGGGAAGAGAUAGCCUCUCAGCCCAACCCCCUCAUCCACCCUCACCUGCCC